CCUACGGGAGGCAGCAGUGGGGAAUAUUGGACAAUGGGGGCAACCCUGAUCCUGCCAUGCCGCGUGUGUGAAGAAGGCCCUCGGGUUGUAAAGCACUUUCAGUGAGGAAGAACGCCUGGUGGUUAAUACCCAUCAGGAAAGACAUCACUCACAGAAGAAGCACCGGCUAACUCCGUGCCAGCAGCCGCGGUAAUACGGAGGGUGCGAGCGUUAAUCGGAAUUACUGGGCGUAAAGCGCGCGUAGGUGGCUUGAUAAGCCGGUUGUGAAAGCCCCGGGCUCAACCUGGGAACGGCAUCCGGAACUGUCAAGCUAGAGUGCAGGAGAGGAAGGUAGAAUUCCCGGUGUAGCGGUGAAAUGCGUAGAGAUCGGGAGGAAUACCAGUGGCGAAGGCGGCCUUCUGGACUGACACUGACACUGAGGUGCGAAAGCGUGGGUAGCAAACAGGAUUAGAUACCCUAGUAGUC
rnacentral:rRNA from 1 species